rnacentral:rRNA from 1 species
UACGAAGGGGGCUAGCGUUGCUCGGAAUUACUGGGCGUAAAGGGAGCGUAGGCGGAUAGUUUAGUCAGAGGUGAAAGCCCAGGGCUCAACCUUGGAAUUGCCUUUGAUACUGGCUAUCUUGAGUACGGAAGAGGUAUGUGGAACUCCGAGUGUAGAGGUGAAAUUCGUAGAUAUUCGGAAGAACACCAGUGGCGAAGGCGACAUACUGGUCCGUUACUGACGCUGAGGCUCGAAGGCCAGGGGAGCAAACGGG